AAUUACUUUUAACAAAUUCAACACAGCCAAGAGAAGUAGUAUGAAUUUCUCAACCAUUGUUUUAUAUCCAACAGUACUUACCAUGGGCUGAAGAUGUAGACAAGUCCUCGUUGAAUGGGUUCCAGAAAAGUUGUUCUUGCACACCAAGUGUAGUCAGGUUACAUGGAAAGGAUGGAACAUCGUGCAUGUGUGAGUUUGAAGAAGGAAACGUUCAUGCCCUAGUUUACCCAAAUCUUAUCCUGAGAGGGCACGACAUUGAAAUCGUUCCCAACGUGAUAAGCUUGGAAGAAUGCAUCUGGCUCUGUGCUAAAGACAGCCGUUGUAAGUCUGCUCGGGUGAACAUGUGGGGAGGAACCUGGCAGUGCUACAUGAAGAAUAAUAACCACGAGGAUUCACCCGACGACUUUGGAGGGGUGAACAUGGGCCUUUAUUUCUACCUGGUUGGCCGAUAAUAGUUAAUCAAAGCUUUUGAAAAGGACUUUAACCAAUAAACGGUUACAGAAACACU